GAGUUUGAUCCUGGCUCAGAUUGAACGCUGGCGGCAUGCCUUACACAUGCAAGUCGAACGGUAACGCGGGGGCAACCCUGGCGACGAGUGGCGAACGGGUGAGUAAUACAUCGGAACGUGUCCUGGAGUGGGGGAUAGCUCGGCGAAAGCCGGAUUAAUACCGCAUACGCUCUGAGGAGGAAAGCGGGGGACCUUCGGGCCUCGCGCUGCGGGAGCGGCCGAUGUCGGAUUAGCUAGUUGGUGGGGUAAAGGCCUACCAAGGCGACGAUCCGUAGCUGGUCUGAGAGGAUGAUCAGCCACACUGGGACUGAGACACGGCCCAGACUCCUACGGGAGGCAGCAGUGGGGAAUUUUGGACAAUGGGGGCAACCCUGAUCCAGCCAUGCCGCGUGAGUGAAGAAGGCCUUGGUUGUAAAGCUCUUCGUACGGAACGAACGGUUACGGUGGAACAAUCGUGACUAAUGACGGUACCGUAAGAAGAAG
rnacentral:rRNA from 1 species